UAGGGAAUCUUCCACAAUGGGCGAAAGCCUGAUGGAGCAACGCCGCGUGUGUGAUGAAGGCUUUCGGUCGUAAAGCACUGUUGUAUGGGAAGAACAGCUAGAAUAGGAAAUGAUUUUAGUUUGACGGUACCAUACCAGAAAGGGACGGACUAAAUACGUGCCAG
rnacentral:rRNA from 1 species